rnacentral:rRNA from 1 species
UGGGGAAUUUUGGACAAUGGGCGAAAGCCUGAUCCAGCAAUGCCGCGUGUGUGAAGAAGGCCUUCGGGUUGUAAAGCACUUUUGUCCGGAAAGAAAUCCUUGGCUCUAAUACAGUCGGGGGAUGACGGUACCGGAAGAAUAAGCACCGGCUAACUACGUGCCAGCAGCCGCGGUAAUACGUAGGGUGCAAGCGUUAAUCGGAAUUACUGGGCGUAAAGCGUGCGCAGGCGGUUUGCUAAGACCGAUGUGAAAUCCCCGGGCUCAACCUGGGAACUGCAUUGGUGACUGGCAGGCUAGAGUAUGGCAGAGGGGGGUAGAAUUCCACGUGUAGCAGUGAAAUGCGUAGAGAUGUGGAGGAAUACCGAUGGCGAAGGCAGCCCCCCUGGGCCAAAUACUGACGCUCAUGCACGAAAGCGUGGGGAGCAAACAGGAUUAGAUACCCUGGUAGUCCACGCCCUAAACGAUGUCAACUAGUUGUUGGGGAUUCAUUUCCUUAGUAACGUAGCUAACGCGUGAAGUUGACCGCCUGGGGGAGUACGGUCGC